GGAUCAAACAUGCAAGCUCUUGUGAUCAUUAACAAUUCAGUCAAAGCUAUCAUCAAUUGAUCUAAUAGUUAAUAAUUGAGGAUCCACUAGAGAGAAGAUAGAUGGAAGAGUUAUCUUCCCCUGACCGAUGGAAGAGUUGUGUUCUGCUUCCAUUUUUUCCAUAUUGAAGAUAAAGAGAAUCUGGUGCUUGAGAUGCCUGGGUAUAUGUUUACUUAAAAAGAUGCUAGAUUUUCUAGCCAUUGAUUUGCUGACCCGUAGCAGCUAUAUAAAGAGAGAUUACAUCCCAUAUGCUCUUGAGCUUCUCUAAGAUUUGCUUUCCCAAAUAAAAGAGCAUCAUCUGCAAAAAGAAUUUUAGAGAUCACAGGGAUGUUCUCACUAGCUUUAGUCCUUAGAUAUCUCCUUUAAGCGUUGCUGAAUCCACUGGAGAAGAGAGGGCUGUUCUAACUCGGCUGUAAGCUGUUUAAUUUCAGUUUGAUUUUAAAUCUUGAUAUCACCGACCAAACCAGCACCAGGGGGAUGAUUGUAACGCACUAAGCACCAUGGGGAACAUUCAUAACAAGAUCGCCAUUGUGGUGAAAAACAUUGGGCGACGAUGACCUUGAUCAUCGGCAAUCUACUUGUACCCUAUCCUCAAAUCCAACCCUUGAACGUCAGCCUCAACCCCCACGUCUCUAAUAUGACGGGAAAUCUCCCAAACCCAUCAUAGAAGAGCGACAUCACGAGGAUCUCUCACAAAGGGAGAACAUAUGGAAGCUUCGAAUCAGCACCAAAAACUAGCGAAGGAGGAUGACAGUGGACCUCUUUGGCGUGCCAAUCACGUUUUCCAGCCACCAUAUCGAUUGAACCCCACAAGCACCACACUAUUCGACCUAGGGAGAUUUACCCUGCCUAACCUCAACAACAACGCUGCUUUUAACAUCGUAAUUACAGCACCUAUAUAUAUAUAUUUAGCAAUAACUUAAUGCAAUACAAUCCACUUGAAAAAAAAAAAUACAAUCCACAUGCAAUAAAAGUUUAUGCAACACUAGUGAAUAUACAGCAACGGUUUUGAUUCCCUACUGCCUUGAAUGAUUCAUCAAUUGAUACCAACUAGGAGCUGCCGCUAACCUCUGCUCAGCGUAACAAAAUUACAAUCAUCUCCUUUUGCAUCAACUUGUCCUAGUCAAUUGUGGGAUGCCAUCACUCGUGCAGCUAUCAGGCAGGGCUUCUACAUGAUAAUUGAUACAAUAAUAUUUCAAUUCAGGCAGUCUCUGGCGAUUAACCCAUGCCGGCAGCCUUUUGUGAUGGUAAUGCCUGAGAUACAGCUGCUCAAUUCUUGGGGGAGGAGAAAGCCGAUCUAGCAUCCUUAGCAUACUAUCUCCUUCUGAUAGCUUUUCUGUGUCAAAAUCAAUGGCUAGAACCUUGAGUUUCUGAAGCUUUAAAAAGACAUUCUGCUCUUCUUCUGUUAUUUCGCUUUCUUUACUCCAAAGCAUUCGCAAUACUCUUAACUCGCCUAGUUCUCCAAGUUCAUGAACUGAACAGCUGCUUCUGGUUUUUAUUUUUGAUAAGCAGAAGCUUCUUCUGUUAUCCUGAGCCACCACUCUGAAUCCAGACAAUUCUUGGAGCUGGGAGAGCCUCCCUAGUCCACGAGGUAGGUAUGGAAGCUUGUUACAAGAGUAUAGGUCCAUUACUGUCAACUUUUUCAGACAAGUGAUUGAAGGACUUAGUUUGGAUAGCAUACUGCAUCCCCUUAAAAUUAAGAGCUGGAGGUUUCUGAGUUUGCAAAUCGAAUGUGGAACUUCUUGGAGUUGCUUGGCUCCACUUAGAUUUAGAUAUGCUAGGCGUUUGAUGGAGCUAAUCCAACUGAAAAGAUUCAUCAAUUGAUUAUUGUCAAGCGUAUUGUUAGACAAGUCCAACGCCCUGAGUGAACGAAGUGAACCCAAAUUCCUGUGGAAUGGAGCGCGAUUGCUAGUCAUCAGCAGUGCUCUCAGCUUUGGACUUCCUUUCAAUAAUUUUGCAUCCAUUCCACUUCUGAAACCCAACCACCGAGCUCGAGAAUCUUUAUGAAAAUUUUGGUUGCCUUCCUCGUCAAAGCUGCAAAGUUCCUUAACUUUCGCUAUCUGAAUGAUCAAACCCCGCACCAGAUCAUGCAAUUUGUAUUUAUAGACUCUUUCAUCAGAGUCUUGCCUGUGCACAACCUCAACAAGGCAUGUGCUCACCAGCUUAGACAGGCUUUCAAAGCCCAUUUCUAUUGCAGUUUUCGAGUCUUUGCCCUGGAUGAAUUCUUCUCCGACCCACCAAUGGAUUAACUUUUCAGCUUGUAUUUCUUCAGGGUAAAUACAGAAACAUAAAAGGCAUUGCCUCAGAUAGGGCGGGAGUGCCUUGUAGCUUAGAUGCAGAGAAGUCGUUACUUUAUUUUCUUCUGUGAUGUUGGGUUUACACAAGUUUAUCCAGAUUGCAUUCCUAUUAUCAAUAUGAAAUGAUGAUCCCAGUAAGCCUCCUAUCGUCUUGAUCGCCAAUGGAAGUCCCCCACACUCGGCUACGAUUUUCUUCCCCAGCUUUUCUAAAUUUGCUGAACAAUGGUCUUCCAGAGAUGCAUGGCUGCAGAACAAUGACCAGCUGUCUUUCUCAUUCAAGAAUUUGGGCUCAUGAACUCGCAAUUCGUCAACUUGGAUAGCAUACGCAACUUCUUUAUCCCUGGUCGUGAUAAUAAAGCAAGUUUGUUUAUGAGCUAUAGUUGAUACAUAAGAGAAAAAGCCCUCCCACCAAGUGAAAUGCUUGUCGCCCCAGAUGUCAUCAAAAACAAUGAGACAGGAUUUUUCUUUCAACCGUGAAAUAAUAUGAUCUAACAUCUCUUUACAAUCUAUAGAUCCACUCUGUCCUGGUUGUUCACCUGAUUGCUUUCUAAAUUGAUCUAACAAGCUCGUUAGGAUUUCCUUCUCUUUAAAAGUUUGAGAAACUGACACCCAAAUCCUGUAGUGGAAGUGACUUUUUACCUCAUCUUCUUCAAAAAUUAGCUUGGCAAUGGUGGUUUUCCCCAAGCCUCCCAUCCCCACAAUGCCAAUCUUUUGAAGUUCGUACUUGCAAAGAAUCCACUUUUUUAUCUUUUCAGCAUCCCUAUCAAGUCCAAUUAUUAUUUGCUCUGGUCGUUCAUGCUCCCAUCCAAAUUUACAUGUAACAUUCUUUUGGAGGCUGCUAGCAAACUGUUGCACUUGCAAAGAAUUCCCCAAAAUUUCUAAUUUCAUCUUCAUCCUCAGAUUAAUAUCCUUUAUUUUCUUGCAUGUUCCACGUUUGAAGAAGAAAUUCGUAGGAAACAACUUUGACAAGGGUCCGUGUUUCUGAUAUUCUUCUCUGAGUGAACAGUCUGUUAAUAUAUCAUGUACUUCAUCCUCAAAUUCUCUGAAUGUAGGGAAACUCUGGAUUAUGAGCUGAUUGCAGUUAUCUUCAUUGUCAAGUAAUUUCUUUAUACCAUCUACUCUCUGCUUCAUGAAGUCGAACUCGUUUUUGAAGUCAUGUGCAUGCUGCGCUUCCUUCACAAGUGCAGUAAGCAGUUGCUCAGCCACAACAGAAAGCACCGGAUCUGCACCUGCCAUCUUCUUGUCUCUGUAACCUAUUAAAGUCAAUUGCCAUCUAAUCCAUAAAUGAUAAAGGGCUAACGGAGUCAUAAGACAUAUGAUCUAUAUUUUCGCAAUAAUUCUAGGAAAAAAAUUAUGAAAGAUUAUGAUCCUAUGUGCAAUCAAGACCAAAAAAUUAUCUCAUGUGCUAUUUUACUCCAAAAACAUGACAGCAAAUAGAGGUGAAGACUGAAGAUAUCAUGCUCUAUAUACAUGCUUAAUUUGCAGUUAUUAACAUCUCAGCUAUAUCUUCAUUAUUUCUAAUUUGCAGUAGACCAUAUAUCAAUUGUAUGGAAAGCCUAGCUAACAAACAAAUUUUGGAUUAUUUUGAGUUUCAAUAUAGAAACCAUUUGUCACUUCAAAUUUGCAUCCACAUGCCAGAAAUGUUUUCUUUAUAUGGUGAAAGAAAUAAAAUAAUUAAGGGCAUCUCUGGUUCAUCUUGGAAAUAGAUGUCCAACAAAUUUAAUUGUUGUCAAUAUAACAUGAUAUAGAGAAAAUAUACGAAAUUAUUAAAUCCUUGGCAAAAACUGAAAAGAAGAAAAAAAACAGAGAUGAAAGAGGAGAUAUGAAUACAUAAAUCACCUGGCCUGCAAACAAAUUUUGCAAGUCAACUAGGACACGAAGAGUGAGCAAUCAAUCCAGUGGGAGGAUGAGAAGUGAUUCAGUCCCAAAAACAUAAUCUAUCUGUGAGAGAAUUUAGCCUCUGUUCCAAACAAUGAAGAUAAAAGGGCUUACUACUUAAUCAUAAUCUUUAAUUUUAAAUUGAGCGACAAUUCAUUAGCUUAAUCUCUUUAGACCAAGUGGUUCAUACUGAUACCGAAAAGUGUUU
rnacentral:misc_RNA from 1 species